rnacentral:rRNA from 1 species
AGCGUACACGGUGGAUGCCCUGGCAGUCAGAGGCGAUGAAGGACGUGCUAAUCUGCGAUAAGCGUCGGUGAGGUGAUAUGAACCGUUAUAACCGGCGAUUUCCGAAUGGGGAAACCCAGUGUGUUUCGACACACUAUCAUUAACUGAAUCCAUAGGUUAAUGAGGCGAACCGGGGGAACUGAAACAUCUAAGUACCCCGAGGAAAAGAAAUCAACCGAGAUUCCCCCAGUAGCGGCGAGCGAACGGGGAGGAGCCCAGAGCCUGAAUCAGUGUGUGUGUUAGUGGAAGCGUCUGGAAAGGCGUGCGAUACAGGGUGACAGCCCCGUACACAAAAAUGCACAUAUUGUGAGCUCGAUGAGUAGGGCGGGACACGUGGUAUCCUGUCUGAAUAUGGGGGGACCAUCCUCCAAGGCUAAAUACUCCUGACUGACCGAUAGUGAACCAGUACCGUGAGGGAAAGGCGAAAAGAACCCCGGCGAGGGGAGUGAAAAAGAACCUGAAACCGUGUACGUACAAGCAGUGGGAGCCUCUUAAUGGGGUGACUGCGUACCUUUUGUAUAAUGGGUCAGCGACUUAUAUUCUGUAGCAAGGUUAACCGAAUAGGGGAGCCGAAGGGAAACCGAGUCUUAACUGGGCGUUAAGUUGCAGGGUAUAGACCCGAAACCCGGUGAUCUAGCCAUGGGCAGGUUGAAGGUUGGGUAACACUAACUGGAGGACCGAACCGACUAAUGUUGAAAAAUUAGUGGAUGACUUGUGGCUGGGGGUGAAAGGCCAAUCAAACCGGGAGAUAGCUGGUUCUCCCCGAAAGCUAUUUAGGUAGCGCCUCGUGAAUUCAUCUCCGGGGGUAGAGCACUGUUUCGGCAAGGGGGUCAUCCCGACUUACCAACCCGAUGCAAACUGCGAAUACCGGAGAAUGUUAUCACGGGAGACACACGGCGGGUGCUAACGUCCGUCGUGAAGAGGGAAACAACCCAGACCGCCAGCUAAGGUCCCAAAGUCAUGGUUAAGUGGGAAACGAUGUGGGAAGGCCCAGACAGCCAGGAUGUUGGCUUAGAAGCAGCCAUCAUUUAAAGAAAGCGUAAUAGCUCACUGGUCGAGUCGGCCUGCGCGGAAGAUGUAACGGGGCUAAACCAUGCACCGAAGCUGCGGCAGCGACACUAUGUGUUGUUGGGUAGGGGAGCGUUCUGUAAGCCUGUGAAGGUGGCCUGUGAGGGUUGCUGGAGGUAUCAGAAGUGCGAAUGCUGACAUAAGUAACGAUAAAGCGGGUGAAAAGCCCGCUCGCCGGAAGACCAAGGGUUCCUGUCCAACGUUAAUCGGGGCAGGGUGAGUCGACCCCUAAGGCGAGGCCGAAAGGCGUAGUCGAUGGGAAACAGGUUAAUAUUCCUGUACUUGGUGUUACUGCGAAGGGGGGACGGAGAAGGCUAUGUUGGCCGGGCGACGGUUGUCCCGGUUUAAGCGUGUAGGCUGGUUUUCCAGGCAAAUCCGGAAAACCAAGGCUGAGGCGUGAUGACGAGGCACUACGGUGCUGAAGCGACAAAUGCCCUGCUUCCAGGAAAAGCCUCUAAGCAUCAGGUAACAUCAAAUCGUACCCCAAACCGACACAGGUGGUCAGGUAGAGAAUACCAAGGCGCUUGAGAGAACUCGGGUGAAGGAACUAGGCAAAAUGGUGCCGUAACUUCGGGAGAAGGCACGCUGAUAUGUAGGUGAAGCGACUUGCUCGUGGAGCUGAAAUCAGUCGAAGAUACCAGCUGGCUGCAACUGUUUAUUAAAAACACAGCACUGUGCAAACACGAAAGUGGACGUAUACGGUGUGACGCCUGCCCGGUGCCGGAAGGUUAAUUGAUGGGGUUAGCGGUAACGCGAAGCUCUUGAUCGAAGCCCCGGUAAACGGCGGCCGUAACUAUAACGGUCCUAAGGUAGCGAAAUUCCUUGUCGGGUAAGUUCCGACCUGCACGAAUGGCGUAAUGAUGGCCAGGCUGUCUCCACCCGAGACUCAGUGAAAUUGAACUCGCUGUGAAGAUGCAGUGUACCCGCGGCAAGACGGAAAGACCCCGUGAACCUUUACUAUAGCUUGACACUGAACAUUGAGCCUUGAUGUGUAGGAUAGGUGGGAGGCUUUGAAGUGUGGACGCCAGUCUGCAUGGAGCCGACCUUGAAAUACCACCCUUUAAUGUUUGAUGUUCUAACGUUGGCCCGUAAUCCGGGUUGCGGACAGUGUCUGGUGGGUAGUUUGACUGGGGCGGUCUCCUCCUAAAGAGUAACGGAGGAGCACGAAGGUUGGCUAAUCCUGGUCGGACAUCAGGAGGUUAGUGCAAUGGCAUAAGCUAGCUUGACUGCGAGCGUGACGGCGCGAGCAGGUGCGAAAGCAGGUCAUAGUGAUCCGGUGGUUCUGAAUGGAAGGGCCAUCGCUCAACGGAUAAAAGGUACUCCGGGGAUAACAGGCUGAUACCGCCCAAGAGUUCAUAUCGACGGCGGUGUUUGGCACCUCGAUGUCGGCUCAUCACAUCCUGGGGCUGAAGUAGGUCCCAAGGGUAUGGCUGUUCGCCAUUUAAAGUGGUACGCGAGCUGGGUUUAGAACGUCGUGAGACAGUUCGGUCCCUAUCUGCCGUGGGCGCUGGAGAACUGAGGGGGGCUGCUCCUAGUACGAGAGGACCGGAGUGGACGCAUCACUGGUGUUCGGGUUGUCAUGCCAAUGGCACUGCCCGGUAGCUAAAUGCGGAAGAGAUAAGUGCUGAAAGCAUCUAAGCACGAAACUUGCCCCGAGAUGAGUUCUCCCUGACUCCUUGA